rnacentral:lncRNA from 1 species
AUGAUGCUUCAGGGCGUGCAUUUGAAUCGCUGCAUGGUCGCGGGCGCAGUGCAGUUCCGAUUGUUUUUAUUGUUAUGUUGUUGUUUACAUCUGUCUUUAAAAUGCACUGCACAUGGCGAAGACAUUCAUACGGAUGAACGCUGGCAUGGAGACUCAUCUCGUAUCCAUGACAACACGGAGCACUUUAUCACUUAUCCACAGUGGAUCAGCCCUGCCAGACAUAAAAGAUCUCAUGAGGGCACUAAGCAUCCAUCUGAGGCAGAGGUCAAAAUUACUGUGGGAGGGGAAGAGCUGAUUCUGCAACUCCGGAGAAAUGAGGAGCUGUUCUCCUCUGAAUAUCAGGAGAUAUGGUACAAUCCGAAUGGAGACCGUCAGUUUUCCAGGCCUUCCAACAGUGAUCACUGUUAUUAUCAUGGGUCAGUCAAAGGGAUCCAGGGAUCAAGUGUCGUCAUCAGCACCUGUGCAGGUCUCAGGGGCAUGAUAACAGUCAAUAACAGCGUGAGCUACAUGAUCGCACCGCUAGCUAACCAAACACACUCUCAGGAACAUGCCGUAUUCAGCGCUCAGAGCCUGAAACUGCCAGUGGGCACCUGUGGACAAUACCAUGGAGACGGGAAUCAUUCGGAAAGCCUUCAAGAGCUGAUUGAUGUCAUGGCAAAGCCUCAGCAGACCAAUAGGGUGAGAUCAUGGGAUUCCUGUCAAAGAUGCAUCCUAAUAGGUUCUCUUUUUCAGUUCGUGAAGCAUGGUCGGGACCUUGAAAUGACCAAAACAAAACUGCUUGAAGCAGCUAACUUUGUGGAUAAGUAUUACAAAUCACUGAACAUCCGUGUGGCUCUGAUCUGGUUGGAGAUCUGGAAUGAUCAAGACAAGAUCCCUGUGACCAACAACCCCUACAGCACCCUGGGUGCAUUUCUGGCCUGGAGGAGGAAACAGCUGCCACAGCUGUCCAAUGACAACGCUCAGCUAGUAACGGGUGUGCCGUUUCAGGGCACCAUCAUUGGUCUAGCUCCCCUUAAAGCCAUGUGUUCUGAAUACCAGUCUGGUGGAGUCAAUUCGGACCACUCUAACAGUGCUGUGGGGAUCGCUGCCACCAUGGCUCAUGAGAUGGGGCAUAACUUCGGUAUGAGCCACGAUAGUCCAGGCUGCUGUCUCUCUCAGCCUGAGGAUGGAGGGUGCAUUAUGGCUGCUGCCACAGGGGAUCCGUUCCCUCGUGUCUUCAACCCCUGCAAUCAGAAAGAGCUGAAGCGCUACCUGAGCUCUGGCGGGGGGAAGUGUUUGUUCAACCCUCCCAACACCAGGGUCAUGUACGGGGGCCAGCGCUGUGGAAACGGAUACCUGGAGGAAGGAGAAGAAGAGUUUCAUUGCUUCCUUCCCUGUUGUAAUGCCAACAACUGCACGCUGAAGAUCGGAGCUGAGUGUGCACAUGGAGUUUGCUGUCAUGAGUGCAAGCUGAAGAGUCCAGGAGUGAUGUGCCGUCCACCUUCAGGCUCCUGUGACCUGCCUGAGUACUGUGAUGGGAAAUCAGAGACCUGUCCUGCUAACUUUUACUUGGGGGAUGGCAGCAGUUGCGCGGGUGGCAGUGCCUACUGUUACACAGGAAUUUGUCUGACGCUUCAGCAGCAGUGCCUCUCUCUCUGGGGCAAAGGUCUGUGUCUGCUAAAGUCUGCUAAAAGUCCCAUAGUGUAAAAGUAACACCAUAAAAUCAAGCACCCAAUACUCUGUGCGUCACGGUUUCUAUAAAAAUAGCAGCACAACAUUAAUGAAAAUAAAUGUUUUUUGAACAGUAAAUCA